UACAGAGGUCUCAAGCGUUGUUCGGAUUUACUGGGCGUAAAGCGUGCGCAGGCGGGCUUUUAAGCCAGACGUGAAAUCCCCGGGCUUAACCUGGGAAUGGCGUUUGGGACUGGAAGUCUGGAGUACGGCAGAGGAGACUGGAAUUCCUGGUGUAGCAGUGAAAUGCGUAGAUAUCAGGAGGAACACCGAUGGCGAAGGCAGGUCUCUGGGCUGAUACUGACGCUCAUGCACGAAAGCGUGGGGAGCAAACAGG
rnacentral:rRNA from 1 species